rnacentral:rRNA from 1 species
UACGUAGGGGGCAAGCGUUGUCCGGAAUCAUUGGGCGUAAAGAGCGUGUAGGCGGCCCGAUAAGUCCGCUGUGAAAGUCCAGGGCUCAACCCUGGAAUGCCGGUGGAUACUGUCGGGCUCGAAUCCGGAAGAGGUGAGUGGAAUUCCUGGUGUAGCGGUGAAAUGCGCAGAUAUCAGGAGGAGCACCAAUGGCGAAGGCAGCUCACUGGGACGGUAUUGACGCUGAGACGCGAAAGCGUGGGGAGCAAACAGG